rnacentral:sRNA from 1 species
ACUCUCCAUAUAUAUU